UUCUUUCAUUUUUCAACCAAGCUCAAUCAGUUCUGUGAGCAUUUUGAUUAGCAGUGUUUUGAACUAUGCAUCGGAUAGGUUUGUCUAUCUCCUCAUGACUUAGCCCUCUUUGGGGCUUUAAUCUGUUCUUUUAUUUGUGUCACAUUUUUCUGUCUUGGUGCAUCUGUUA